rnacentral:rRNA from 1 species
AACCAUGGAACUAUAAUUUUCUGAAUCAGAUUUUGAUAUACCAAUCAAAAACAAAACUUUCAACAACGGAUCUCUUGGUUCUGGCAUCGAUGAAGAACGCAGCGAAAUGCGAUAAGUAAUGCGAAUUGCAGAAUUUCCGUGAGUCAUCGAAUCUUUGA